CCGGGACGGAGCUUGAGUGCUUGUGGAAUUUGACGGUGCCACUGAGCUGCAGUGACAGAAACACAGUGAGCUGUAUAAACUCCAGGUCCUAAGAAGUUUUCUGUGAACACAGUGGAUCAUUUUUUUUCCUGGCAUGAUGUGCUGAGGAUAUUAACUUCCUACAAAUUACUUCACUAAGAAAUAUGGGCACUUCUUCCUUUUCAAAUGUCUGCUUGCAGAAGAAAGUACAGCAGAGGAAGGAAUGCAGUUCAUGGGACCCUUUGAAGUUAAUCAUGGCACUCCUAAUUGUGAUGAAAUUUCACCUGGCACUAAAGCUUGCCACCAUCUGCAAAGUGACAGUUACAGGUGUUCAGAUUCCUGUGAUGACAGUUGGAAGCUAAGCAAAAAUGAAGACACUCUCCUUAUACCCAAACCUGGUCUUUCAAAAUGUGAUCAUUUGAGGACAUCCUACUAUGAUGUCAGAGCAGCAUUCUGAGAAAAAAAUUACAGCUUGAUGAGUUCCUGCCAGUGAACAUCUCCAUCAGCUGUGGCUCCCAUCCAGCAUCCUCUGAGUUGGAAGUGGAGUCUGUUCCAUAGAUGUUGGAAGCAAAGCACGAGUAACGCCCUGUGUCCUCCUCAAAAGCUUCAACAAUAAUCAGAUUCUGCAGUUUUUAGAAGCACAAAGAGUGAUUGGUUGAAAGUCAGUGACAGUUUUAAUUGUGUAAGUAGAUAUAGAAAACUCAUUUGUUAAUUUAUAGAAACAAUUCACCUGUCUAUUGUUAAUUGGGUAAAAAUGGAUGUAAAGAUGAAACAGCCGCCUGGUUCAGGGCCAUUUUGUGCCUUCAGAGCCAAAGUGAGGCAGGUUAUGGUGAACUGAACUUGUGCAGAAAGUCUGGAGAGACCUGCCAAGUUCUGUGAUAACAUCCUAAUAAACAGGAGAAACAAGAUCCUGACGAGCUCUGGAGUUUUCUUCAGGCCCAGAGAACUGAGAUAAACGGAGCUCCCAUGGAGAAGGAUCCCAAAGGAGCUCGGCUCAGAAGGGACCGAGAAAUCCGUUUGGAGAAGUGCAACAUCAAGCAGAGAAAAAGUAACAUCCAGAGCCCUCUGGAGCAAGUUUUUGCUGCCCAUUCCUGGUUUGCAUCCCAGCAAGAGCUGAUCCUGCUCUUCCCAAGGCUGAUCAG